UAGCUUCUCUAUUUCGCUGACGUCACAGAACGCGUUGAUGGAGUAUGCGAGGAAGGAGAGGAGUGUGUCCAUGGUUUGAUUUCGUGGGUAAUCGUCAUCCCUGCAGGCCUUCUCAGGGUCAGGUCUUCUCAGGGUCAGAGCAAAGAGAAGGACGAAGCUGGUGGAAGGAGAAGGAAGAAGCUUUCGUGUACUGUAGAUUGGGUUAGGUUAGGAUUAGGUGGAGAAGAGAGGACGGAUUGAAGUUCAGAGCAAGGAGAUGGUGGAAGUUUUCACUGUUUGUGGUCAGGAGAGGAGCAGAAUCAGAAGCCAAAAACGUGGUAGAUUUCGUCAUCUGAUGCUUUCUCUGAUGUUGGAUCACGUUAGUUGAGUACAAUCCUGGUGAAGCAGGAGAAAAAGAACAGUCAUCUUCUUUGUGGGUUCUAUUCAUUGACAAAUGUUAGUUUAGCAGAAUUGAUUUCAAGAUAAGAACCAUUGAACUUGAUGGCAAGCGCAUUAAGUUAAAAAUCUGGGACACUGCUGGUCAUGAGCGAUUUCAAACUAUUACGACUGAAAGAGGACACAUUACUUUAGUCUAACAAGAUAGUUGCGGGAAACAAGGCUGAUAUGGACGAAAGUAAGAGGGCUGUACCUUCUUCCAAAGGCCAAGCUCUUGCAGAUGAGUAUGGUAUCAAGUUCUUUGAGACUAGUGCAUAAACAAACGUGAAUGUGGAGGAGGUUUUCUUUUCAAUAGCAAGAGACAUCAAGCAGAGGCUUGCAGACAUAGAUUCUAGAGCUAAGAUGAUUCUAAUGAAUUGGCUAAGAAUAAUGAUGAUGGAGAGGAUACAUUCAAGCUAUCCUAUUCUGAUGUUGUGUGAAGAAUUAAAGGAAAAGAACCUUCAGAAAAGUUUUGUUCCUUGAACGAACUUCAAAGAUGGAUGAGGUAUUUUGCUUGCAUGUGCCUAAGGUAUUUUGCUUGCAUUUGCAUUUGGGGCUGAAGUAUUAAUUGGUGGUUGAGAAAAGAGGUGGGGGCGGUAGUUGUGGACUGAGGUGAUGGUUGUGGUAUGCAGGCAGAUGCUUAAGAAAGGGUGAAGGGUUCCAUAGUUGAGGGAGAAGGAGGUGUGGGCCCGGCUGUGUGUUUUGGGUUAGGGAAGAAGAAGGUUGAGUCAGUGGUGGUGGCGGCACUAUUCAGGUGAGAACUUUUUUUGUUUGUGUUCCAAUUAUUUUUUGGCCCAACUUGUCCUAGCUGGUACAUCCUAUUAAUUUUUUUAGCCUAGCUUUUGGUUGGCCCAUGUCAUGUUAUAGGUCAUCUUUUAUUUUUUUAGUUUACCAUUUGUCCUUCCCAUCAGUCUGCCGUUUAACAGUGAGGAAGGAGAAGAGAGAAUGAUGGAAGGGAAUAGCAAGAGUGUGAGAAGAGAAGAUGAUGGAAGGGGAAUGACGAUUUUCGUCACCCACCGUAGAUAGGGUUAGGUUAGAAUUAGAAGGAGAUGAGAAGAUGAUGGAAGGGGAAGGACCAAGUGUACGGUUAGGGGAUGACCGAAAAUAUGACAUAUGUUGCUUCAUUCAAACAAGGAGGACAGAAGAAGGUUGAAGGAGAAGAGAAAAAUCCCAUUGUUUGAUUAUCAGGUCUAUGUAGUAACCUUUCUGUCGUAACUUGUAUUGUUGCAAGGCUGAUACGGGUGUUAUUCCUUUUAACCAACUUUAAAUUUAGAUCUAGCUAGCUACCAUAUGUCAAGUUAUAUCUAAUUGUUUGUAAAUGGUAUUAUAAAACCAACCAUUGGUUUGCAGUAUGAUAAUGUUUUUGUUUUGUUUGAUACAUGUGGUGCCAAGAAGGUUAUUAUCAAAGAUGCUGCUGCUCCGAAUUACACAUCUAGAAAGCCAUGCUUCGAAUUACACAUCUAGAAAGCCAAGUAAAUAAGUUGCAAGUAACUGUAUGUUUUAGUAAUCUUUGGUAUACUAUCCAAGUCUAAUCAGAAAUGUAUAUUCUCAUUGACACUAUUCAUUAAUGAGUUAUUUAGUUAAUCUUAUUUAAGAAUGUAUUUGACCACAUUAAAAAAAUUGAUUUUUUUUCUCAUCCCAUGACAUUGAUAUGUUCAGUUCAUUUUUCAUACGCAUAAAGUAUGAUAAGUAGCUUUAGUUAGUGAUUGUCAUUUUGAAAGGUUGCAUUCAACUUUCUUCCAAGUAAUUUAAUAAUGAAUUACUUUCAUGGUAAAAUGGCAGCUUUCAUCCUCACCGUAUAAGCAUGAUUAGUAACUAAAAUAUAUGUUUUAUGUAGUUUUUAAACUUCAAUCCCUUUUGCAAUCAGGGUAAAUAAUGACAAGUAAGAAAUUAUGGUUUGGUUUUAUGUUGAACAUGAUUAGAUUUGUCAUUCAACUUCACUUCUUUUCCUUGGUUUCCAGGUUCUGUGACUACUUUGUAUUUUUUCUAUCCAAGAACUUACUUUUACAUAAAUGUCUGUGAUAAUGAAGUCUCAUAUUUCAAAUCAAGUGAUAUUAUCUUGGUCAGCUCAAAGGGUUGGAGGGUUUGUCUCAAGAAGAGUUUUUUCUAUGGCUGCCUGUGAAGGAUAUCAUUGUAAAUGAUCCAUCAUUAGGUCUCAUUCUCAUUGAUAUUGGUCUUGCCUAUAAACAGCUCUCUCUGCCUCUCUUAGAAGUUCCCCCAAUUUGCAGAUCCUAAGGUAACUGUCUUUUUUGUUUGUGUAUUUAUAGCUGUUAUUUAUUGAUGAUAACUUCAAAUUUGAAUAGAAAUCACUAUGUAAAAGCAUAUGCAUGCUAUUUUCAUCUCAUCCAUUAUUAUUUUUAGCAUAGUUAUUUGCAUCAGUUUCUUUUACUUAAAAAUCAAUUCUGACAAUUGAAGCUACUCACAUCAAUUUCUCCUCGUAAUUGAUUUUGUCUUUAAAAUCAACUAUUGAAGAAUUUUGAAACAUACAAUGAGACCGAAUGUAUUUCAAUUCUCAUCUAUUUUAGCUUCAAAGAUUUUGUUUUGUAUGUAGAAUUUUGAUUUAAAAGUAGAACAGAGCAUUUUCAUUCCUCAGUUUCUCCAAAUUCAGGGAUGUGUGUUUGUUCGUUUUAUUUAUGUGGGUGGUCUUAGGUUCAAUAUCAAGAUUCUUGACCUUAAUCUCAAAGAGGUUCAGUAUAGGUGAGGACAUGUCAUGCUGCAACUGAUGUUGCAGGUCCAAGUAAUGUGAAUGAUAAUAUAUUGUUAGAGGAUGAAGGAAGUUAUAGUAUUUGUUGAUUUAGUUAGUGAUGAUGAUUAUGUGGAUGAAGUUGAAGAUAUUGUGGGUUAUGAUCGGUUGAUGUGUACAUUUGAUAUCAAUGCUGAUCUCAUAAGUGGCAGGGAACCUCUGAUUAUCCCAGGUUGGGUUCAAAGAGAAUAUUUCAGUGAUAUAACUCCUAUAAUCAAUGUUCUUCUUCCCAAUGGAUCUUGGACCAAGUGGGAACUUUGUUGGUACUCGCUUGGUGGGAGAAGCAAGGUAGCUGGUAUGAAGGGUGAAGUUUAUGGCCGCUGGUUUGAAUUCUACAAGGACACAUUUAAGCGACUUCGAGACACUGUUGCAGGACAUUGGAUGCAGUUAUGAAAAAUGGAGCAACCAAAUAGAUAUAGGGUUGUGGUAUUCACCCUUUAAUUUUGCAUUAAGAAAUUGUAACUUUUUUGGAUGUUUUAUAACUAUGUAACUAUGUUAGUUAGACCUUCUUUUUAUUUUGCUACUCUGUUUAGUUACAUGUUUCCUUGAAUUUAUCUAAAAGUUGUACUUUGGCUGUAACUUUUUACUUUUUUUAAUGUGGUGAACAAUGUAAUUUAUUUCGGCAAGUAUCCUUGAACCUAUUUAAUGGUGAUACUAGGUUUGUUAUGCA